CAGGACCACAAGAGUACAAUAAAAGCAAUUUACACGGGUUCUGAAUUUCUGGAGUGUUUUUGCUGGUGUUGAAGUUGGCUCGAUGCUUAUUUGUUUCGUCGAUUUCAGUUAUUCAGGAUUCACUCCACGAACAUAAACAACGGGU